AACAUCGUUUAUUGAUUUAAAUCUUAGAUAUAACCUGCCCAAUGAGGAAUUUAAUGGCCGCAGUAUUUUGACUGUGCAAAGGUAGCAUAAUCAUUAGUUUUUUAAUUGAAAGCUUGUAUGAAUGGUUGGACGAGGUAAAGGCUGUCUUGAAUUAAUUUAUAGUAGAAAUUUAUUUUUAAGUUAAAAAGCUUAAAUAAAAGUAAAAGACGAGAAGACCCUAUAAAGCUUUAUAUAAGUUUUAAAUUUAAUUUUUUUGAUUAUUUAUGUAAAAUUUAUAAAUUAUAUUAGAUUGGGGUAAUUUAAAGAUUAAAUAAAUUCUUUAUUAUUAAAACAUUAAUUUAUGAUUUUUUGAUCCAAUAUUAUUGAUUAAAAGAUUAAGUUACUUUAGGGAUAACAGCGUAAUUUUUUUGAAGAGUUCAUAUCGAUAAAAAAGUUUGCGACCUCGAUGUUGGAUUAAAAAUUAUUUAGGGGGUAGAGUUUCUAAAAUUUAGUCUGUUCGACUAUUAAAUUUUUACGUGAU
rnacentral:rRNA from 1 species